rnacentral:rRNA from 1 species
GUGGGGAAUUUUGGUCAAUGGGCGCAAGCCUGAUCCAGCAAUGCCGCGUGCAGGAAGAAGGCCUUCGGGUUGUAAACUGCUUUUGUACGGAACGAAACGGUCCUGGCUAAUAUCCGGGGCUAAUGACGGUACCGUAAGAAUAAGCACCGGCUAACUACGUGCCAGCAGCCGCGGUAAUACGUAGGGUGCGAGCGUUAAUCGGAAUUACUGGGUGUAAAGCGUGCGCAGGCGGUGCUGUAAGACAGGCGUGAAAUCCCCGGGCUCAACCUGGGAAUUGCGCUUGUGACUGCAGUGCUGGAGUGCGGCAGAGGGGGAUGGAAUUCCGCGUGUAGCAGUGAAAUGCGUAGAUAUGCGGAGGAACACCGAUGGCGAAGGCAAUCCCCUGGGCCUGCACUGACGCUCAUGCACGAAAGCGUGGGGAGCAAACAGGAUUAGAAACCCUGGUAGUCC